CUCAAGAUGGCUGCUGGCAUUCCUCUACAAAAUGGCGGCCUGCCUCACUCACUGUUACCCAGGCUUCAUUCCCGGCUUAAUAGGGGCUCCAAAAUGGGGCGCACCUUCCAAUCAAUGAUGUCCUAUAUUAGCUGGUUUGGCUUUUUUUUAAAAAAUAUUGCCUUACCCACCCAACCACCCACCUGCCCACAAGAGAGAAGGCAGAGGAAAGGCCUGAUGACAGUCCUGCUUCCAGGUGGAUUUUUAGUUUCAUGUUUCCAAUAUUGCCAAGUUCCUGCUCUGGGUACUGAAACUCUAUGCUGCCUUGUACUUGUGGAUUUUGUGUUUUAUCGUUGUACUUUGAAGUUCAUGGACUGCCUGUUACCUAUUGAAAAUACUGUUUUUGGACUAUACUGUUUGCAUCAUUUUUAUUGCUUGGCUUUCAUAUAUUCUUCAAUAAACUGCUUGCUGAUUAUA